rnacentral:misc_RNA from 1 species
GGCAGUGACGUGGUGUUUCAGUAGACUGUCCUACCAACCUAUACCCUGCUCCCGUCGCCCAGUCAUAUCACCUCUUGCAUCCCUCUUCGAUAUUGAUUGGCUGGAAGUUUCAGGGAAGAUAAUCUUCAUUUACUGCCAGACGCAUAGAGGAAAAGUGCUACAGGAAAAGUUACUUAGAUAUCUACAUGUACACGAGGUGUUGGGAGGAACAGUGCUGAUAUUGUCGUGGCUAUGGGAUUGUACCAGAGCAACGUGGUGCUCAACCUGCUGGUGGUGGUGAUUGCCGCAGUGCUCAUCACCCGUUACGUCAUCACUAACUUCUCCACACUCUUCCCCUGGGCACUUCACCCCUGUAGUCAACAAUGUAUAGAUGUGUACUUCAAGGGUCCACCGAAAGUUACUGACCCGGCUCUCCUCUCCAUGGUGAAGGAGUCCUACCUGACGCCUCCCCCGGCUAACCCAGACACCACUCCUUUUGAUAUUGAUGAGCAUGUGUGGAAUAGACUAGUGGACUGGAACGUGAUGCAGGAAAAUCUUAAGGAGAUAUGGAAGAACCAGGCUCCUGGGGUGUUCGUGGAGGUAGGGGUAGUGGAUGGGGAGUUCAUGAGCCAGACGCUGAUGUUGGAGAAGAACUAUAGCUGGACUGGUCUGUUGAUAGAGCCAGACCCUCGCUCCUUCCGAAUCCUACAGGAGCGCCGCCGAAACGCUUGGACCUCUCCUGUCUGUAUCCACUACAGUCACCCAGAGUCGAAAAAGUACUGGCUGCGAGACUUGGAAGAGGAGCUGCCUGACCACUUCUUGCAGCUGCUGAUGGCCCGUAGUAAGCUGGCCGACGAAACACUCACUGGGGAACAGGUGUUGUGCAGGAUGAGGAGCGAGGGAUCUACAUAUCGGUGCCAUGCAUGCCACUCUCCACCCUCCUACUGGCUGCCAACAUCACCUCCAUAGAUCUCCUCGCCUCAGCUACUGGAGUUGAUAAAGAUGAAAAAAGAAUCAAAGAUGUCAUCAACAGUAAAACUUUCGAUGUUAAGAUGCUGCUUCUCCACUUCCCAACGGGGCGAUUGUUUGAUGACCCCUACCCAUAUAUCCCUGGCUAUAUAAUAGACAUGGAGCACUCCACACUGCUGGUCAAGCUCUA